GCCCCAGUAGCUCAAUGGACAGAGCACCUGACUUCGGAUCAGGCGGUUGGGAGUUCGACCCUCUCCUGGGGCA
rnacentral:tRNA from 1 species